CAGUAGCCACAGGAAUACAGAGGUCCCAAGCGUUGUUCGGAUUCACUGGGCGUAAGGGGUGCGUAGGAGGCUGGGAAAGUCGGAUGUGAAAUCUCACCGCUUAACGGUGAAACAGCAUUCGAUACUACUCGGCUAGAGGAUCGGAGGGGAGAGCAGAAUUCUUGGUGUAGCGGUGAAAUGCGUAGAUAUCAAGAGGAAUACCAACAGCGUAGGCAGCUCUCUGGAAGAUUCCUGACUCUGAGGCACGAAGGCCAGGGGAGCAAACGGGAUUAGAUACCCCAGUAGUCCCUGUCUCUUAUAC
rnacentral:rRNA from 1 species